UGUAUAUAAAAUGGUGAUUUUUAUAAGUGAAUUUUACUACAAAUGGGGGAAAAGUUUUUUUGACACCAGGUAUUUGCAGAUGGCCUGAAGUACAGAGACAAAGUUAUAUGUUACAUACAUACAUAUAUGUAUAUUAUAUAUAUAUUUUAUGUAUAUGUGUAAAAUUAAAAUAAUGUAAAAUAAUGUGUUUUAAAUUUGAAGUGGAGUCUAUUGGCCAAAGAUGGGACUUUUUUUUUCAGAAGUGUUUAAAUUCAUGAGUUCAUAAAGAUACUGUUUUGGUUAGCUGUAGCUACAUAAGCCACCUUGAGCUUGGGGUAGAAUAAUAAUUUAUUGUUGCCUCGUUCCAGUUUAGGGGUUUGCCUGGGCUCAGCUGGGCAGUUUUUGCUCAGUGUCCCUAAUGAGGUUGUAAUCAGAUAGUGGCUAGGAAUAGAGUCAUCUCAAAGUCUUCUCACUUUCAUGUCGGGCAGUUGAUACUGGCUGCAGCUGACACCUAAGCGGGGACGGUUGGCUAGAAUACCUGCAUGUAGUGUCUUGGACUAUAGGACGUCUUGGAUGCGUAUGUGGUCCCUGGGGUACAGCUCCGGAAGCACUUUUCCUUUCAGUCUAAUAACUUGUGAACUAAAGAGACAGGUAUCUGCUCCCUGUAUACCCAUCAUACAGUACAGUGUGACAGGCAUUCUAGACACUUCCAUUCAAAAAGGUAGGAAACAAGACCACACAUAGCAGUCAUUGUUAUAACAUGUUGCUAAUUUUUAAUUCAUACUGAUUGGUAAUGAUACUUCAUAACUCUCAGUUCUACUCUGGCUCUUGGUUUCAUCCCUUGAAUUAGCCUUCCUUUUCUAGAAAAUGUAGUUAUCUUAACUUUGGGUUUCCUGUGGAUUGUAUUGGGGUUUUCUCCAUUAGACAAAAAAGUCACACCCAUGAAUAUCAGGGUAAGCUUACCUUUACUGUUUUGGACUCCCUGUGAGCUGCAGUAGGGUAAAACCCUUAAGAUUCUCAGUAGCCCUACUGUUUAACAAAAAGACUACGGGAGGUACACUGUUAGGAUCCCAAAGGGGCCUUUUCUCUGUGUGAAAAGAUUCUGUAGGGAGCGCCUCAGAACUUUGAGGUCUUAAAGGAUUUUUGCCAACUGGAGAGGUUGAGAAUGAGAGAAAGUUUUUAUUUUUGAGCCUAUAAAGUCCUGGCUUCUUAAUAUUUCCUUUAAAUUGUACUUGAAAACUAGACAGGUCUUUUGGUUGGUUGGUUUGUUUGUAUGUUUGUUUUGAAGUUCAUUUUUACCCUUAUACCCUGCUCAAAGAAACCAGUUGGCACUUUGAGCAUUCUGCUUGGAAUUCUGUUUAGCUAAAUCCAUCAGUCCAUUAGGUACAACUUCUGAUUUUCUAUUUUCCGUGUUACCUGGUACAACAGGUGACAGUUUUGACAAACUUCUGACACUGUAUAACAAGGAUCCCUUUUUCCUCUAGGUUUCCAAAAACAUUUUUCUUACUGAAGCCCUUAACCAACACUCUCCAUGGAUGACGUGAGGCUUCUGUGAAGUCUCUUCAAGGCCUUUCCAACUUUCACCCUCUACCCCAUGUGCUUUAUGUUUUAUUGUGGAAACCCCUUACUCUAGGUACAAGUUAUCUGUUCGGUUGUAACUGUAUAACAGAUCACCCCAAACUUAGUGGUAUUAAAUAACAGCAUUGUUACUUGUUAUUUUAUAGUAAUAGCAUUUAUCAUAUAGGUAAAAAUUAUAUAAAUGAAAACAUUUAUUAUAUAAAUAACCUAAACAGAUUAUCUCUUAGGUAUAAGGAUUUCUGGGUUCUGUCAGGAGGUUCUUGAGGUCUAAUGCAGUUGCAAGGUUCUGGGGAAAAUGGCAAGGUUCUGGAAAACCAGGUGGGAUGGGAAAUGUAACAAUUUUUAGGAAAUACAAUUUGUCAAAAUUAAUAAAUGAAAAAAAUCCACAAUUGGUCAUUAUCAGAGGAUAAGUGGAUAAAAGGGUAACGGAUUUAUCCUGCCUUUCCUGUAUGACCUAUAUUUUGGGUAACCAAAUUGUAGAUGAGGGGAAGGGUCUUUUUAUAAGAUAUGUCAAAUAAUAAAUGAAAAACAAUAGAAUUACUGUCUUCUACAACUUCCAGUAAAUUAAUGGAUCUAGACAUUGUUACAUCAAUGCAGUUGGUAACAUCAUAAAAAGAGAGCUAACCAGAAACUGUGCCUUCUGGUGAGAGAACACAGCACCAACUAAAGUUUUACCAGAGAGAAUAAACCUGAGUUUAAGCAGGUGUCAGGAUCUACCUCUGGUUUGCAGGAAAUAUAGAAGACAGGAUCAUGUUAAAUUGUACCUUAAACAAAAUCUAGUCUGGGAAAUUCUAUAGAACAAGCAAUCCCGGUUCUUCAACAAAUUAAUUAUUGGAGGGAAAACCUGUAGAUUAAAAGAGACCUAGAAGAUAUCUUUUCUUUUUUUUUUUUUUUUAAUCUUUUCUUUUUUUAAUAGGUAAAACUACACUAUAGUAGGGACUCAUACUUGGGUGAUAAAACCAUAAAAACCCAUAAAUUUUCUGACUUUUAAAACUACUUAGGAUAUUAAAUGCUACAUAGAAUAUAAGAGUAGGCUAAUGAGGAUAUUUAAAUUUUUUUAAAUCAAGAGCCACUGGUUUAGGAAAAAACCCUAUAAAUUUGAGUAAUGCAACAAUCUUCAUUUCUACUUUUUUCUCAUACAGAAGUAGGAAACUACUUCUAUCAGUUUUUGGCCAUGAAAGAUAACUUUUUUUCAUGUUUUAUCCCUUCUUAAAUCAGAAAGCAUCUUUUUUUUUUUUUUUUUUUAAGAUUUUAUUUAUUUCAAAGAGAGUAGGAGAACAAGCAUGGAGUGGGUGGGGCCAUUGGGAGAAGGGCCUUACUCCAGUCUCCAUCCCAGGACCCUGAGAUCAUGACCUGAGCCAAAGGCAGAUACUUAACUGACUGAGGCACCCAGAUGCCCCCAGAGUGCGUCUUAUAAUUCAUGGUGUGUUGUUUAAUUGAAAGCAUUUUGAUAGCUCAGCUUUCACAAGAAAAAAAAAAAACUAGCCGGGAAAAGUCUGAAAAAAUAAUAGUACUCAAAGAGAGGACAAGUCCUACCAGAGUAAAAGCUAAUUCUAAGAUGCAGUGGUUAAAACACUGUAGUAUUUGUGCAGAUCAGUGGAACAAAAUAGGAAAUCUAAAUGCAUCAAGGCAUUUGGUAUAUUUUAAAGGUGGCAUUUCAAGUCGGAAAAAAUUGGAAAAAAUUGAUUGUUCAGUCUAUGAUUUAGGGACAACUGAAUAGAGAUUUGGGAAAAAAGUAAAAAAUUAAAAAAAAUCAAAAUAAAAUAAAAAAUAAAAAAAAUUAAAAAUAAAAAAAUU